rnacentral:rRNA from 1 species
GACGAACGCUGGCGGCGUGCUUAACACAUGCAAGUCGAACGGAGUUGCGAACGGGUGAGUAACACGUGGGUGAUCUGCCUUGCACUCUGGGAUAAGCUUGGGCAACUGGGUCUAAUACCGGAUAGUGCAAGAUGAGCUCGCGGCCUAUCAGCUUGUUGGUGGGGUAAUGGCCUACCAAGGCGUCGACGGGUAGCCGGCCUGAGAGGGUGGACGGGCACAUUGGGACUGAGAGACGGACCAGAGUCGUACGGGAGGCAGCAGGGGGAAAUAUUGCACAAUGGGCGGAAGCCUGAUGCGGCGACGCCGCGUGGGGGAUGACGGCCUUCGGGUUGUAAACUCCUUUCGACAGGGACGCGGUACCUGUAUAAGAAGCACCGGCUAACUACGUGCCAGCCGCCGCGGUAAUUC